rnacentral:rRNA from 1 species
UACGGGGGGGGCAAGCGUUGUUCGGAAUUACUGGGCGUAAAGGGCUCGUAGGCGGCCAACUAAGUCAGACGUGAAAUCCCUCGGCUUAACCGGGGAACUGCUUCCGAUACUGGAUGGCUUGAGUGUGGGAGAGGGAUGCGGAAUUCCAGGUGUAGCGGUGAAAUGCGUAGAUAUCUGGAGGAACACCGGUGGCGAAGGCGGCAUCCUGGACCAGUACUGACGCUGAGUGAGCGAAAGCCAGGGGAGCAAACGGG